rnacentral:misc_RNA from 1 species
CCCGCUUCUUCGAAAACCCGACUCACAACUGGGUCGUCGAGGAUUGAUAGAAUCAGGUUCUGGAGCUCCACUUUUAUACACGACAUUGAAGCGGAGGAUUGCUGCUGCGAUAAUUGGCAAUACAAGUCGAAAUUCUCCGGCUGCCUCCUCUGUUUAGCCUGAGAACGUUUUAUUGCCGCCAUGAGAGAGUUCGACACCGGCGG